rnacentral:rRNA from 1 species
UGGUUAAGUUAGAAAGGGCGCACGGUGAAUGCCUUGGCACUAGGAGCCGAAGAAGGACGCGACGAACGGCGAAACGCCUCGUGGAGCUGUAAGUAAGC